CAUCCUGAGCAACCUGCCAUAUAACCUAGACUUGACCUCAUACUCACAUUGCUGUUACAUACAGAAGAAAAAUACAUAGUUUGUUUAAGGCAGGAAAUCAGUAUUGUACCUCCUUAUGGGGUUAUGUCUUUUUCACCUUUUUCUUCUCUUAGUCUGGUUGCUCGGACUCAGAAGCUGGCUCAGAGAUUGACAACAAAGAAAAAGAGCAAAGAAAGAACGAUGACAGUGAUGUGGACAGUGAGAAAGAGAAG